rnacentral:rRNA from 1 species
UUAAGCGACUAAGCGUACACGGUGGAUGCCCUGGCAGUCAGAGGCGAUGAAGGACGUGCUAAUCUGCGAAAAGCGCCGGCGAGGUGAUAUGAACCUUUGACCCGGCGAUGUCCGAAUGGGGAAACCCAGUGCAAUCCGUUGCACUAUCGUUAACUGAAUACAUAGGUUAACGAGGCGAACCGGGGGAACUGAAACAUCUAAGUACCCCGAGGAAAAGAAAUCAACCGAGAUUCCCCCAGUAGCGGCGAGCGAACGGGGAGCAGCCCGGAGUCUGAAUCAGCUUGUGUGUUAGUGGAACGGUCUGGAAAGUCCGACGGUACAGGGUGAUAGUCCCGUACACGAAAAUGCACAUGCUGUGAACUCGAAGAGUAGGGCGGGACACGUGGUAUCCUGUCUGAAUAUGGGGGGACCAUCCUCCAAGGCUAAAUACUCCUGACUGACCGAUAGUGAACCAGUACCGUGAGGGAAAGGCGAAAAGAACCCCGGCGAGGGGAGUGAAAAAGAACCUGAAACCGUGUACGUACAAGCAGUGGGAGCCUCUUUUAUGGGGUGACUGCGUACCUUUUGUAUAAUGGGUCAGCGACUUAUAUUCUGUAGCAAGGUUAACCGUAUAGGGGAGCCGAAGGGAAACCGAGUCUUAACUGGGCGUUAAGUUGCAGGGUAUAGACCCGAAACCCGGUGAUCUAGCCAUGGGCAGGUUGAAGGUUGGGUAACACUAACUGGAGGACCGAACCGACUAAUGUUGAAAAAUUAGCGGAUGACCUGUGGCUGGGGGUGAAAGGCCAAUCAAACCGGGAGAUAGCUGGUUCUCCCCGAAAGCUAUUUAGGUAGCGCCUCGUGAACUCAUCUUCGGGGGUAGAGCACUGUUUCGGCUAGGGGGCCAUCCCGGCUUACCAACCCGAUGCAAACUACGAAUACCGAAGAAUGUUAUCACGGGAGACACACGACGGGUGCUAACGUCCGUCGUGAAGAGGGAAACAACCCAGACCGCCAGCUAAGGUCCCAAAGUCAUGGUUAAGUGGGAAACGAUGUGGGAAGGCACAGACAGCCAGGAUGUUGGCUUAGAAGCAGCCAUCAUUUAAAGAAAGCGUAAUAGCUCACUGGUCGAGUCGGCCUGCGCGGAAGAUGUAACGGGGCUAAACCAUGCACCGAAGCUGCGGCAGCGACACUAUGUGUUGUUGGGUAGGGGAGCGUUCUGUAAGCCGUUGAAGGUGUGCUGUGAGGCAUGCUGGAGGUAUCAGAAGUGCGAAUGCUGACAUAAGUAACGAUAAAGCGGGUGAAAAGCCCGCUCGCCGGAAGACCAAGGGUUCCUGUCCAACGUUAAUCGGGGCAGGGUGAGUCGACCCCUAAGGCGAGGCCGAAAGGCGUAGUCGAUGGGAAACAGGUUAAUAUUCCUGUACUUGGUGUUACUGCGAAGGGGGGACGGAGAAGGCUAUGUCAGCCGGGCGACGGUUGUCCCGGUUUAAGCAUGUAGGCGGAGGUUCCAGGUAAAUCCGGUACCUUGUUAACGCUGAGGUGUGAUGACGAGGCACUACGGUGCUGAAGUGAUAAAUGCCCUGCUUCCAGGAAAAGCCUCUAAGCAUCAGGUAACACGAAAUCGUACCCCAAACCGACACAGGUGGUCAGGUAGAGAAUACCAAGGCGCUUGAGAGAACUCGGGUGAAGGAACUAGGCAAAAUGGUGCCGUAACUUCGGGAGAAGGCACGCUGAUGUGUAGGUGAAGCCCCUGCGGGCGGAGCUGAAAUCAGUCGAAGAUACCAGCUGGCUGCAACUGUUUAUUAAAAACACAGCACUGUGCAAACACGAAAGUGGACGUAUACGGUGUGACGCCUGCCCGGUGCCGGAAGGUUAAUUGAUGGGGUUAGCGGCAACGCGAAGCUCUUGAUCGAAGCCCCGGUAAACGGCGGCCGUAACUAUAACGGUCCUAAGGUAGCGAAAUUCCUUGUCGGGUAAGUUCCGACCUGCACGAAUGGCGUAAUGAUGGCCAGGCUGUCUCCACCCGAGACUCAGUGAAAUUGAACUCGCUGUGAAGAUGCAGUGUACCCGCGGCAAGACGGAAAGACCCCGUGAACCUUUACUAUAGCUUGACACUGAACACUGGUCCUUGAUGUGUAGGAUAGGUGGGAGGCUUUGAAGCGUGGACGCCAGUCUGCGUGGAGCCAACCUUGAAAUACCACCCUUUAAUGGCUGGUGUUCUAACGUGGACCCGUAAUCCGGGUUGCGGACAGUGUCUGGUGGGUAGUUUGACUGGGGCGGUCUCCUCCCAAAGAGUAACGGAGGAGCACGAAGGUUGGCUAAUCCUGGUCGGACAUCAGGAGGUUAGUGCAAUGGCAUAAGCCAGCUUGACUGCGAGCGUGACGGCGCGAGCAGGUGCGAAAGCAGGUCAUAGUGAUCCGGUGGUUCUGAAUGGAAGGGCCAUCGCUCAACGGAUAAAAGGUACUCCGGGGAUAACAGGCUGAUACCGCCCAAGAGUUCAUAUCGACGGCGGUGUUUGGCACCUCGAUGUCGGCUCAUCACAUCCUGGGGCUGAAGUAGGUCCCAAGGGUAUGGCUGUUCGCCAUUUAAAGUGGUACGCGAGCUGGGUUUAGAACGUCGUGAGACAGUUCGGUCCCUAUCUGCCGUGGGCGCUGGAGAAUUGAGGGGGGCUGCUCCUAGUACGAGAGGACCGGAGUGGACGCAUCACUGGUGUUCGGGUUGUCAUGCCAAUGGCACUGCCCGGUAGCUAAAUGCGGAAGAGAUAAGUGCUGAAAGCAUCUAAGCACGAAACUUGCCCCGAGAUGAGUUCUCCCUGAGACUUUAAGUCUCCUGAAGGAACGUUGAAGACGACGACGUUGAUAGGUCGGGUGUGUAAGCGCAGCGAUGCGUUGAGCUAACCGAUACUAAUGAACCGUGAGGCUUAACCUU